rnacentral:lncRNA from 1 species
UGAAACGAAAAACAUAAAUUGCCAUAAUACAAGAAAUUUUAUCCUAGAACCUGUUCUAAGUACCAUUGGUUGAAGCGUACAUUUGAAUGUUUUAGCAAAACCUUGGAGUCAUUUAAGGUUAGCCAGUUAAUUAUGACUCUAUUCCUUGUACUUGGAGACUGCAGGAUAUUCUUGGAAGGAUAGUGACUAUUGUUUGUUGCUAUCUCUGCUCAUGAAAAGCAAUGUUGUAGGAUGGUCGCCACUGAUCUUCCUUCUAAGAGUGAAAGAGCAAGGAGAUAAAUGAUUGACAUGCCAAUGUGGUCUCUGGUAGAUCAUGCAAUGGUUCAUCUAUAGGUCAAGCAACCGUGAACAUGAAAGAAUUUUCACAGGUUACAUUGAUGGCACUUGUGUCUCAUCUUACACAACUCAUGAUUCUGCAUCGUUGCAUGAACCCUGAUAUUAUAAAUUGGUGUUGUAUUGCUAACAUAUUUUUCAACAUAGAAGAAAAAUAGUGUACCAUCAAAAAGUUGCAAGUUGAAGUCAGAUCUAAGUAAUAGCAUUUUGGAUGAAGAAUCACAUUGUUAUCUGCUCUCUGGAGAUCAUAAUUACUGAUAGUUUAAAAUCAAUAACGAAUUCAACAUAGC